CCUACGGGUGGCAGCAGUGGGGAAUAUUGCACAAUGGGGGAAACCCUGAUGCAGCGACGCCGCGUGAAGGAAGAAGUAUUUAGGUAUGUAAACUUCUAUCAGCAGGGAAGAAAAUGACGGCACCUGACUAAUAAGCUCCGGCUAACUACGUGCCAGCAGCCGCGGUAAUACGUAGGGGGCAAGCGUUAUCCGGAUUUACUGGGUGUAAAGGGAGCGUAGACGGUGCAGCAAGUCAGAAGUGAAAGUCCGGGGCUCAACUGCGGGACUGCUUUUGAAACUGUUGAACUUGAUUGCAGGAGAGGUAGGUGGAAUUCCUGGUGUAGCGGUGAAAUGCGUAGAUAUUAGGAGGAACACCAGUGGCGAAGGCAGCUUACUAGACUGUAAAUGACGCUGAGGCUCGAAAGCGUGGGGAGCAAACAGGAUUAGAUACCCCUGUAGUC
rnacentral:rRNA from 1 species